GUUGAACGCUGGCGGCAGGCCUAACACAUGCAAGUCGAACGGUAACAGGAAGAAGCUUGCUUCUUUGCUGACGAGUGGCGGACGGGUGAGUCAUGUCUGGGCAACUGCCUGAUGGAGGGGGAUAACUACUGGCAACGGUAGCUACUACCGCAUAACGUCGCAAGCCCAAAGAGGGGGACAUUCGGGCGUCUUGCCAUCGGAUGUGCCCAGAUGGGCUUCGCUAGUAUGUGGGGUAACGGCUCACAUAGGCGACGAUCCCUAGCUGAUCGGAGUGGAUGACCAGCCGCACGGGAAGUGGGACACGGUCAAGAGGCCUACGAGAGGCAGCAGUGGGGAAUAGGGGACAGUGGGGGGAAGCCUGAUGCAGCGAGGGCGCGCGUAUGAAGAAGACCUUCGGGUUGUAAAGUACGUGUAGCGGGGAGGAAGGGAGUUAGCUUAAGACCUUUACUCAUUGACGGUACCGGCAGAAGAAGCACCGGCUAACUACGUG
rnacentral:rRNA from 1 species